CAGUAGCCGCGGGAAUACGUAGGUGGCAAGCGUUGUCCGGAAUUAUUGGGCGUAAAGGGCUCGCAGGCGGUUUCUUAAGUCUGAUGUGAAAGCCCCCGGCUCAACCGGGGAGGGCCAUUGGAAACUGGGAAACUUGAGUGCAGAAGAGGAGAGUGGAAUUCCACGUGUAGCGGUGAAAUGCGUAGAGAUGUGGAGGAACACCAGUGGCGAAGGCGACUCUCUGGUCUGUAACUGACGCUGAGGAGCGAAAGCGUGGGGAGCGAACAGGAUUAGAUACCCCUGUAGUCCCUGUCUCUUAUAC
rnacentral:rRNA from 1 species